CCGGUGUAAGCUCCUUCGGCCGGAAGAAAUCGCCAUCGAUAAAUACCGUUGUGGAUGACGGUACCCGGAAUAAGAAGCACCGGCUAACUACGUGGCCAGCAGCCGCCGGUAAUACGUAGGGUGGCGAGGCGUUAAUCGGAAUUACUGGGCGUAAAGCGUGCGCAGGCGGUUUUGUAAGACAGGCGUGAAAUCCCCGGGCUCAACCUGGGAACUGCGCUUGUGACUGCAUCACUUGAGUACGGCAGAGGGGGGUGGAAUUCCAUGUGUAGCAGUGAAAUGCGUAGAGAUGUGGAGGAACACCAAUGGCGAAGGCAGCCCCUGGGUCGAUACUGACGCUCAUGCACGAAAGCGUGGGUAGCAAACAGGAUUAGAUACCCUGGUAGUCCACGCCCUAAACGAUGUCAACUAGGUGUUGGGAGGGUAAAACCUUUUAGUACCGGAGCUAACGCGUGAAGUUGACCGCCUGGGGAGUACGGCCGCAAGGUUAAAACUCAAAGGAAUUGACGGGGACCCGCACAAGCGGUGGAUGAUGUGGAUUAAUUCGAUGCAACGCGAAAAACCUUACCUACCCUUGACAUGUCCAGGAGCCUGAAGAGAUUUGGGUGUGCCCGAAAGGGAGCUGGAACACAGGUGCUGCAUGGCUGUCGUCAGCUCGUGUCGUGAGAUGUUGGGUUAAGUCCCGCAACGAGCGCAACCCUUGUCGUUAAUUGCCAUCAUUUAGUUGGGCACUUUAACGAGACUGCCGGUGACAAACCGGAGGAAGGUGGGGAUGACGUCAAGUCCUCAUGGCCCUUAUGGGUAGGGCUUCACACGUCAUACAAUGGUCGGUACAAAGGGUUGCCAAGCCGCGAGGUGGAGCCAAUCCCAGAAAGCCGAUCGUAGUCCGGAUUGUAGGCUGCAACUCGCCUGCAUGAAGUCGGAAUCGCUAGUAAUCGUGGAUCAGCAUGUCACGGUGAAUACGUUCCCGGGUCUUGUACACACCGCCCGUCACACCAUGGGAGCGGGUUCCGCCAGAAGUAGGUAGCCUAACCGCGAGGGG
rnacentral:rRNA from 1 species